GGGUUGUGAGGUUAAGCGACUAAGCGUACACGGUGGAUGCCCUGGCAGUCAGAGGCGAUGAAGGGCGUGCUAAUCUGCGAUAAGCGCCGG
rnacentral:rRNA from 5 species